GGAGGCAGGCACAGAUGCCAAUCAAACCUUGUAAAUUACCCAGUGCCAAACAAACUGUAUUUUGGUAUCCUUUCUUGAUAAACUACAAGCAUUUCACAGCAUUCUUUCAGGCUGCAGACUAUUACCUCAAUCCACAAUUCUGCUAUUAAAUAAUGUUUUCUAUGGCACUAUUUGGCAUUUGAUAAAGUUGUUUCUACAUUGUCUUAUC